rnacentral:rRNA from 1 species
UACGUAGGGACCAAGCGUUGUUCGGGAUUUACUGGGCGUAAAGGGCGCGUAGGCGGCAAUUCAAGUCAUCUGUGAAAUCUCCGGGCUUAACUCGGAACGGUCAGGUGAAACUGCUUUGCUAGAGUGCGGAAGGGGCAAUCGGAAUUCUCGGUGUAGCGGUGAAAUGCGUAGAUAUCGAGAGGAACACCUGAGGUGAAGACGGGUUGCUGGGCCGACACUGACGCUGAAGCGCGAAAGCGUGGGGAGCGAACAGG